rnacentral:rRNA from 1 species
GGGUUGUGAGGUUAAGCGACCAAGCGUACACGGUGGAUGCCCUGGCAGUCAGAGGCGAUGAAGGACGUGCUAAUCUGCGAAAAGCGGCGGUAAGGUGAUAUGAACCGUUAUAACCGGCGAUGUCCGAAUGGGGAAACCCAGUGUGACUCGUCACACUAUCAUUAACUGAAUCCAUAGGUUAAUGAGGCGAACCGGGGGAACUGAAACAUCUAAGUACCCCGAGGAAAAGAAAUCAACCGAGAUUCCCCCAGUAGCGGCGAGCGAACGGGGAGGAGCCCAGAGCCUGAAUCAGCAUGUGUGUUAGUGGAAGCGUCUGGAAAGGCGCGCGAUACAGGGUGACAGCCCCGUACACAAAAGCGCAUGUGCUGUGAGCUCGAUGAGUAGGGCGGGACACGUGGUAUCCUGUCUGAAUAUGGGGGGACCAUCCUCCAAGGCUAAAUACUCCUGACUGACCGAUAGUGAACCAGUACCGUGAGGGAAAGGCGAAAAGAACCCCGGCGAGGGGAGUGAAACAGAACCUGAAACCGUGUACGUACAAGCAGUGGGAGCNNGUGACUGCGUACCUUUUGUAUAAUGGGUCAGCGACUUAUAUUCUGUAGCAAGGUUAACCGUAUAGGGGAGCCGGAGGGAAACCGAGUCUUAAUUGGGCGUUAAGUUGCAGGGUAUAGACCCGAAACCCGGUGAUCUAGCCAUGGGCAGGUUGAAGGUUGGGUAACACUAACUGGAGGACCGAACCGACUAAUGUUGAAAAAUUAGCGGAUGACCUGUGGCUGGGGGUGAAAGGCCAAUCAAACCGGGAGAUAGCUGGUUCUCCCCGAAAGCUAUUUAGGUAGCGCCUCGUGAAUUCAUCUCCGGGGGUAGAGCAC